rnacentral:rRNA from 1 species
AGUGAACGCUGGCGGUAGGCCUAACACAUGCAAGUCGAACGGCAGCACAGGAGAGCUUGCUCUCUGGGUGGCGAGUGGCGGACGGGUGAGGAAUACAUCGGAAUCUACUCUGUCGUGGGGGAUAACGUAGGGAAACUUAUGCUAAUACCGCAUACGACCUACGGGUGAAAGCAGGGGACCUUCGGGCCUUGCGCGAUUGAAUGAGCCGAUGUCGGAUUAGCUAGUUGGCGGGGUAAAGGCCCACCAAGGCGACGAUCCGUAGCUGGUCUGAGAGGAUGAUCAGCCACACCGGAACUGAGACACGGUCCAGACUCCUACGGGAGGCAGCAGUGGGGAAUAUUGGACAAUGGGCGCAAGCCUGAUCCAGCCAUACCGCGUGGGUGAAGAAGGCCUUCGGGUUGUAAAGCCCUUUUGUUGGGAAAGAAAUCCAGCUGGCUAAUACCCGGUUGGGAUGACGGUACCCAAAGAAUAAGCACCGGCUAACUUCGUGCCAGCCGCCGCCGUAA